UAUACUUAUUGUGGAUCAGCACUGCUCAGCUCAGACAAAGUUUCCAUAUCCUGAAGCAGGCCCAGAUUGGCCAUCGGGCACACAGAGCAAAUGCCCGAUGGGCCGAGGCCGGCAGCGAGAUCACAGGAUCUCCCCUGCCGGUCUUUGCAGGGCCGGCACUAUCCAAGCGCCGGCCCUGCAGUAGUCCACAGUAUACUGCGGCCGGCAGGGAGAGAGGGAGAGAGACAGCCAGAAGAGGAACCCGGAGGAGCUCUAACUUACAGCACCCUGACACUCACAGCACCCUCACUCUCACACACACUGAAUCCCUGACACUCACAGCACCCCCCCCCACACACACACACACACACAAACUGCACCCUUGACAUUCACAGCACCCUCACACACACACACACACACACACACACACACUGCACCCCUGACACUCACAGCACCCUCACACACACACUGCACACACUCACACACACACACACUGCACCCCUGACACUCACAGCACCCUCACACACACACACACUGCACCCAUGACACACAGCACCCUCACUCACACACACACACUGCACCCCUGACACUCACAGCACCCUCACUCACACACACUGCACCCCUGACAGUCACAGCACCCCACACACACAGACACUGCACCCCUGACACAGCACCCUCACUCACACACUGACCCCUGACACAGUACCCUCACUCACACACAUACUGCACCCCUGACAUUCACAGCACACACACUACACCCCUCACACACAUACUGCACCCCUGACAUUCACAGCACACACACACACACUACACCCCUCACACACACACUGCACCCCUCUCGCACACUGCACCCUCACACACACACACUGCACAAUAUGCUUUCCUAGCAUUUUUGUCUCCCGGUAUCCCAUCUAUGGAGACACCAGAGACAAAUUUCAAGCAAACACAGAGCAUGUUAUAAAAUUUUCUUGUGCUGCGCAGAACAAAUACAGGGCCUUUUUCUCAUGUUAGAGCUCUUCAGCAGAGCUCUGCGCAUGGUCUACCCCGAAAGAGCAUUGAACCAACAUGCUCACUUUGUGAUGGCACGUGCUUGUCAUUGGUGAUGACAAAACACACCAUCUCUGCCCCGCCCCCUUCUUAGCGGGCCCCUGUAAUUAAAAAAAUGCCCGGGCCGAAUUUUCUUCCCAGUCCGGCCCUGCCCUGGAGUGCAGGUACCCUUUCCGAGGAAAGUGCACUCACAAGAUUCAGUAGAUGAAUAUCUUCAAACUUUUAUUGUGCAGUUUAGUAAACCAAGAUAGUGUCAACGUUUCAGUCCACAGUGGACUGAAGCGUUGACACUAUCUUGGUUUACUAAACUGCACAAUAAAAGUUUGAAAAUUCAUCUACUGAGUCCUGUAAGUGCAAUUUCCUCUGAUUAUAUAUUUUGGCUGAAGUAAGCACCCAGGCAAACACAAGACCGUGAGAGUGAGUGCUGGACCCAAAUGUUAAAGACACAUUUAGUGUUAAAAUGUUGAAUUUUCACAAUUGAUGGUGCAAUAAACCACCAUAACAUGAAAUUGCUGAGUCCUGAGGAUUAUUUCAUUUGGGUAUAUAAAUCUAUACAUUUGUGUGGUAUUGUUUUCUAUGAGUGCUAUUAAACUUAGAAGUCAAACAUACCAAAUUUUAAAAUCCUUCCACAUUGAAACUUCACUUCCUGUAGUUUAUUACCUGUAACUCUUAACCCCUUGAGGACCAAACUUCUGGAAUAAAAGGGAAUUAUGACAUGUCACACGUCAUGUGUCCUUAAGGGGUUAAAAAUAAACUGAAAUCCCAGACUGGUAAAAAAAACAAAAAACUGUAAAAUGUUUUUCUAUUUGCUUUUUUUGUGUAUAUUUUUUUUUUUUAUAUAAUAAAUGAGAAGUUGUAUAUGUUACAACAAAAUAAUUUUUCUUUAAAAAAACAGUAUGUAAUUUGUGUUGUUGCAAUAAAUGAGAAAGAUGGAAAUUGCGGUUGAACACAUACAUGGCAAAAAUAAAAUUGCUUUGGUUCCUAUAAAGUUAUAAAUGUGUAUAUAUAUUAUUGCUUCAAUGCUUCCCUAUGGGGAUUUCACUUACGCUGGAUGUCCUCAUGCAGAGUUAGGCGACCAAAAGUCACUUAGCCACCAGGAAGUACAUCUAGUGGCUGUCUGAUUGACAACCACUAAAGGCAG